UACGUAGGGGGCGAGCGUUGUCCGGAUUUAUUGGGCGUAAAGAGCUCGUAGGCGGUUUGGUAAGUUGGAUGUGAAAUCUCCAGGCUCAACUUGGAGGGGUCAUUCGAUACUGCCAUGACUAGAAUUCGGUAGGGGAGUGUGGAAUUCCUGGUGGAGCGGUGAAAUGCGCAGAUAUCAGGAGGAACACCCGUAGCGAAGGCGGCACUCUGGGCCGGAACUGACGCUGAGGAGCGAAAGCGUGGGGAGCGAACAGG
rnacentral:rRNA from 1 species